AUGGCGGACACCGCAAGAGCAAGAGCGCCGCCUCCCAACCGCAGCCUCCCGGAGGAGAUCCUCAUCUGGGAGAUCCUGGUCCGCCUGCCCCCCAAAUCCCUCCUCCGUUGCCGCGCCGUCUGCCCCGCCUGGCGCCGCGCCACCUCCACCCGCGACUUCCUCCUCGCCCACCACGCCCGUCAGCCCACCCUCCCUCUCCUCGACGACUUGAGCAGCAUCGGCUACGGAGGCCACUCCUUAGACACCAUCCCCACCCCCUCUCCCUUGGAGCACCAGGCCGCCACCGGCCGGCUCCAGUCCGUCGUGCGAUUUGAUGAUGCCUACUUCCGCCUGUUCGCCUCCUGCGACGGCCUCCUCCUUCUCUCCAUGGCCACUGGCUACUUAGUCCUCUGUAAUCCGGCGACUCGUCAGUUUGCUCGUCUCCCGCUCCUUCCUGGCUUCAUACCCUUGGGGAUGUAUCCACACAGCCCAACUGGAACUGGGGAGUACCGACUAUUGCUCUACCUGUCUUCCUCGGAACGGGCACCUGACGCUCAAGCUGGCUGCUACAUCCUCUCUCUAGGCUCCGGCCAGCUGCCCAGGCACAUAGGGUGCAGGGAUGUGGAGAGACUCAUAAACACCUUCGGAUCUGUCAUGUUCCAUGCUAGCCUACAUUGGCACCGGCACAAUGUGAUAAUGGUAUUUGACACCAUAACCGAGUUGUUUCGUGAGAUGUCUGCUCCUAUUGUUCCUGGCCCCGUCAACCUGUUUGAGACGGAUGGAAUGCUUGCCGCCUCCAUCUUCACUGAUCCAACGACAUCCAUUGAUAUCUGGAUGGCACAGGACUAUGACAAUGAGGUUUGGGCCUUCAAAUAUCGGGUCAAUUUGCCGGUUGCAGAGCUCACAGCACAGUUUGGGAAGAUUAACAAACGUUGCUGUGUGGUGUUUGCCUCUUCGGAUGGUCAUGCGCUUGUGCUGGCCAAAUUUGGAGAUUGGCUGCUUCAGGUUGAUAUGGAUGGCAAGUUGGUUGCCAGUUUCCAUGGCAGAGGCAUUGGCCCUACUCAAAAUCGGCUGAAACAAUCUCUUUUUCAGCAUACCUUCUUUCCCACACUUGAGGGUUAUGUUGUCAACGCGUCGCCUUUCAUCUGA
rnacentral:rRNA from 1 species